rnacentral:rRNA from 1 species
GAUGAACGCUGGCGGCGUGCUUAACACAUGCAAGUCGAACGAAGCACUUAAGAUUGAUUCUUCGGAUGACGUCUUUUGUGACUUAGUGGCGGACGGGUGAGUAACGCGUGGGUAACCUGCCUCACACAGGGGGAUAACAGUUAGAAAUGACUGCUAAUACCGCAUAACCCGAUAGGAUCGCAUGAUCCAGACGGAAAAGAUUUAUCGGUGUGAGAUGGACCCGCGUCUGAUUAGCUAGUUGGUGAGGUAACGGCCCACCAAGGCGACGAUCAGUAGCCAGCCUGAGAGGGUGAACGGCCACAUUGGGACUGAGACACGGCCCAAACUCCUACGGGAGGCAGCAGUGGGGAAUAUUGCACAAUGGGGGAAACCCUGAUGCAGCGACGCCGCGUGAGUGAAGAAGUAUUUCGGUAUGUAAAGCUCUAUCAGCAGGGAAGAAAAUGACGGUACCUGACGAAGAAGCCCCGGCUAACUACGUG